GGACAGGGGAGCCUGAUGGGCUGCCGUCUAUGGGGUCGCACAGAGUUGGACACGACUGAAGCGACUUAGCAGCAGCAGCAGCGGCAGUCUUGUUAGAUGAAAAUUUUUUAUUGCCUAUUUUAUAGUUAAGGAAUUCGAAGCACAGCAAGAUUAAGUAGUUUGUCCAUUGUCACAGAGCCAGGUAGUGCUAGUGCUGGGCUUCACACACAUCAGGCUCUUCCUGCAAUGAGGUAGAGGGUACAGGGAGUCUGUUGACUUUUGAGUGAAACUGUGCAUAUGAAAAUCUGGUCUGAUCUAUAGACCUUUCCAGGCUGUAUUUUCCAUAGUAGUAAAAAUGAGAAUCAUAAUUACUUCCUAAGUUUAAUAGAGUAAAAGAUCAUGUAUGAGCCAAUAACUACAAUAGGUCCCUGAGCAUGGUGGAUACUCAGCAUAUAUGAGUUUUUGUCUUUAAUGACAAGAAACUCUCUGAACAAAGAAAGUCUGCUUUCUCUGGUAGCCAUGUUAUCUAGGGCUUCUGUCCUCAUCCUCAGAGGCCCGGUGUCAGGAAAUAAGAAUAGGCUGAACGUGACCUUAACUCUCAUGUCCCACAGCCUGCAUGUUUGGAAGAGCUAUCACUCACACCUGCACAUAUUUUGAGUAACUCUCUAAAAGUGCAUAUAAGGAGAUGAGAGUGAAGUCCUCAAGUGAACUGAAUCUCCUGGGACUUUUCUAUGGUGAGGAAGCGGUGUGUUAUUUUUAAGUACUACCAGCCAUAGGCCUCACCAAAGCGUCUAAGUUUUUUCAAAGCUGUAAAACAAAGUAUAAGACAUGGCAUAAAGAUUCUGAUGCAUGCUUCUGGGGUGAGUCUCUACCAUCUCAAAGCAACCCCUAAACGAGAUAAGCCUUGGCGGGCCCCACCUUGGCGGGCCCCAAAGUGAGAAGGAGGGUGGGCCUGCCAGGGCCACUGGCCUGCAGUUCACUGUUGAGCGUCCAGUGCCCUGAACUCUGCCUGCUGCCCCUCCCUGAUGCAAAGCCUGGACAGCCUGCCUUCCACAGACCUGGAGAUCUUCAGAUCUUGUCUGAGGAUGAUACGAGGAAAAACCUCGCUCUCUGACCAAGGUGGAAUAGGACAAACCUGUUGGAAACCUGUGUAUGUUCCGGGGGCUAGAAUCAAAGCGUCACCAUGGCACUUGCCUCUGAGGAGUUCUCUGGAAAUGGGUGGAAUGAAAGGCAUGGUGUUUAGAAUGCAGCACCUGACAGUAAUAGGGCUCCCCCAGUCUGGCCCAUAUUACUGUUAUGAUAUAAAAGCUGAUGCUUCCUGGAACACUAUUCUAAGAGUAUUGCAUGAAAUGACUCAUUGAGUCUUCACAAUGGCCUUAUUAUCUCUUACCAUGAAGUAACAGAGACUCAGAGAGCCCAGUAGCCCUCUCCUCCUCAGCUGCCAAUCUUUAUUGACCUCCCCCUGCUCUCUGGGAGAAACCAGUCUCCAUCACACAGCUGCUGCUAAGGCCCUUCAUGACCUAGCUUCCAAACAGCCCUUGGGGUAAAUUAUUUUUUCCCCUUCACAUUCCACAUUCAGGUUGUGAUGAAUUGGGUUCAGGUCUUCAAAUGUAUUAUAUUCUCCAUUACCGCAGGACCUUUGCACAGGACCUCUGCCUGAAAUCACCUCUCUCUUACUCCCUAAGCAGGAUAAUCACUACUCGGACUUUGAGAUUCAAGGCUCCAUGUGGCCAGACUUUCCACAGACCAUGGAGCAUACCAUCGAGUGGGUCCUCAAAAAAUGUUUUUUGAUGAAUGAGAGAUUGACUUUCUUUUGCUCUGCUGUCUCAGCCACACACUGUUCCACCCCUGAAAAUCAUAAUUUAAAGUGCCUGUUGAUAAUUAUCAUUAUCAGUUUGACU